CGAGACCCACAAGUCGAGCAGGUGCGAAAGCAGGCUCUAGUGAUCCGGCGGCUCCGCGUGGGCGGGCCGUCGCUCAACGGAUAAAAGGUACUCCGGGGAUAACAGGCUGAUCUUGCCCAAGAGUCCACAUCGACGGCAAGGUUUGGCACCUCGAUGUCGGCUCAUCGCAUCCUGGGGCUGGAGCAGGUCCCAAGGGUACGGCUGUUCGCCGUUUAAAGCGGUACGCGAGCUGGGUUCAGAACGUCGUGAGACAGUUCGGUC
rnacentral:rRNA from 2 species